UACGUAGGGUGCAAGCGUUAAUCGGAAUUACUGGGCGUAAAGCGUGCGCAGGCGGUUCUAUAAGUCAGAUGUGAAAUCCCCGGGCUCAACCUGGGAACUGCAUUUGUGACUGUAGAGCUGGAGUGCGGCAGAGGGGGAUGGAAUUCCGCGUGUAGCAGUGAAAUGCGUAGAUAUGCGGAGGAACACCGAUGGCGAAGGCAGCCCCCUGGGCCGACACUGACGCUCAGGCACGAAAGCGUGGGGAGCAAACAGG
rnacentral:rRNA from 1 species